CGCGUAGGCGGCUUGGUCAGUCCCGUGUGAAAUCCCUCGGCUCAACUGAGGAACUGCACGGGAAACUGCCUGGCUUGAGUUCGGGAGAGGGAAGCGGAAUUCCGGGUGUAGCGGUGAAAUGCGUAGAUAUCCGGAGGAACACCGGUGACGAAGGCGGCUUCCCGGACCGACACUGACGCUGAGGCGCGAAAGCUAGGGGAGCAAACG
rnacentral:rRNA from 1 species